rnacentral:rRNA from 1 species
GCGUGCUAUACUGCAAGUCGAGCGGACAGAAGGGAGCUUGCUCCCGGAUGUAGCGGCGGACGGGUGAGUAACACGUGGGUAACCUGCCUGUAAGACUGGGAUAACUCCGGGAAACCGGAGCUAAUACCGGAUAGUUCCCUGAACCGCAUGGUUCAAGGAUGAAAGACGGUUUCGGCUGUCACUUACAGAUGGACCCGCGGCGCAUAGCUAGUUGGUGAGGUAACGGCUCACCAAGGCGACGAUGCGUAGCCGACCUGAGAGGGUGAUCGGCCACACUGGGACUGAGACACGGCCCAGACUCCUACGGGAGGCAGCAGUAGGGAAUCUUCCGCAAUGGACGAAAGUCUGACGGAGCAACGCCGCGUGAGUGAUGAAGGUUUUCGGAUCGUAAAGCUCUGUUGUUAGGGAAGAACAAGUGCAAGAGUAACUGCUUGCACCUUGACGGUACCUAACCAGAAAGCCACGGCUAACUACGUGCCAGCAGCCGCGGUAAUACGUAGGUGGCCAGCGUUGUCCGGAAUUAUUGGGCGUAAAGGGCUCGCNGGCGGUUUCUUAAGUCUGAUGUGAAAGCCCCCGGCUCAACCGGGGAGGGUCAUUGGAAACUGGGAAACUUGAGUGCAGAAGAGGAGAGUGGAAUUCCACGUGUAGCGGUGAAAUGCGUAGAGAUGUGGAGGAACACCAGUGGCGAAGGCGACUCUCUGGUCUGUAACUGACGCUGAGGAGCGAAAGCGUGGGGAGCGAACAGGAUUAGAUACCCUGGUAGUCCACGCCGUAAACGAUGAGUGCUAAGUGUUAGGGGGUUUCCGCCCCUUAGUGCUGCAGCUAACGCAUUAAGCACUCCGCCUGGGGAGUACGGUCGCAAGACUGAAACUCAAAGGAAUUGACGGGGGCCCGCACAAGCGGUGGAGCAUGUGGUUUAAUUCGAAGCAACGCGAAGAACCUUACCAGGUCUUGACAUCCUCUGACAACCCUAGAGAUAGGGCUUUCCCUUCGGGGACAGAGUGACAGGU